CCUACGGGUGGCAGCAGUGGGGGAUAUUGCACACUGGGGGGAACCCUGCUGCAGCGACGCCGCGUGGGUGAAGGAGUGCUUCGGCAUGUAACGCCCUAUCGGCAGGGAAGAAGCAAGACGGUACCUGACUAAGAAGCCCCGGCUAACUACGUGCCAGCAGCCGCGGUAAUACGUAGGGGGCGGGCGUUAUCCGGAUUCACUGGGUGUAAAGGGAGCGUAGACGGCCAUGCAAUCCAGGGGGGAAAGCCCGGGGCCCAACCCCGGGACUGCCCUUGGAACUGUGCGGCUAGAGUGCGGGAGGGGCAGGCGGAAUGCCUGGUGUAGCGGUGAAAUGCGUAGAUAGCAGGAGGAACACCGGCGGCGAAGGCGGCCUGCUGGACCGCGACUGACGUUGAGGCUCGAAAGCGUGGGGAGCGAACAGGAUUAGAUACCCCUGUAGUC
rnacentral:rRNA from 1 species